rnacentral:rRNA from 1 species
GUGGAUUAGAUACCCUGGUAGUCCUAGCCGUAAACGAUGUAGACUUGGUGUAGGUGGUGUAAAAGCCAUCGGUGCCGAAGCAAACGCGAUAAGUCUACCGCCUGGGGACUACGGCCGCAAGGUUAAAACUCAAAGGAAUUGACGGGGGCCCGCACAAGCAGCGGAGCGUGUGGUUUAAUUCGAUGUUACACGAAGAACCUUACCCGGGUUUGACAUGCAAGUGGUAGGGAAGCGAAAGCGGACCGACCCUUCGGGGAGCUUGCACAGGUGCUGCACGGUUGUCGACAGCU